UUUGAUCCUGGCUCAGAUUGAACGCUGGCGGCAGGCCUAACACAUGCAAGUCGAACGGCAGCACAGAAGAGCUUGCUCUUUGGGUGGCGAGUGGCGGACGGGUGAGUAAUGUCUGGGAAACUGCCCGAUGGAGGGGGAUAACUACUGGAAACGGUAGCUAAUACCGCAUAACGUCGCAAGACCAAAGUGGGGGACCUUCGGGCCUCACACCAUCGGAUGUGCCCAGAUGGGAUUAGCUAGUAGGUGGGGUAAUGGCUCACCUAGGCGACGAUCCCUAGCUGGUCUGAGAGGAUGACCAGCCACACUGGAACUGAGACACGGUCCAGACUCCUACGGGAGGCAGCAGUGGGGAAUAUUGCACAAUGGGCGCAAGCCUGAUGCAGCCAUGCCGCGUGUAUGAAGAAGGCCUUCGGGUUGUAAAGUACUUUCAGCGGGGAGGAAGGCGGUGAGGUUAAUAACCUCGCCGAUUGACGUUACCCGCAGAAGAAGCACCGGCUAACUCCGUGCCAGCAGCCGCGGUAAUACGGAGGGUGCAAGCGUUAAUCGGAAUUACUGGGCGUAAAGCGCACGCAGGCGGUCUGUUAAGUCAGAUGUGAAAUCCCCGGGCUUAACCUGGAACUGCAUUUGAAACUGGCAGGCUUGAGUCUCGUAGAGGGGGGUAGAAUUCCAGGUGUAGCGGUGAAAUGCGUAGAGAUCUGGAGGAAUACCGGUGGCGAAGGCGGCCCCCUGGACGAAGACUGACGCUCAGGUGCGAAAGCGUGGGGAGCAAGCAGGAUUAGAUACCCUGGUAGUCCACGCCGUAAACGAUGUCGACUUGGAGGUUGUGCCCUUGAGGCGUGGCUUCCGGAGCUAACGCGUUAAGUCGACCGCCUGGGGAGUACGGCCGCAAGGUUAAAACUCAAAUGAAUUGACGGGGGCCCGCACAAGCGGUGGAGCAUGUGGUUUAAUUCGAUGCAACGCGAAGAACCUUACCUGGCCUUGACAUCCAGAGAACUUAGCAGAGAUGCUUUGGUGCCUUCGAGAACUCUGAGACAGGUGCUGCAUGGCUGUCGUCAGCUCGUGUUGUGAAAUGUUGGGUUAAGUCCCGCAACGAGCGCAACCCUUAUCCUUUGUUGCCAGCGGUUCGGCCGGGAACUCAAAGGAGACUGCCGGUGAUAAACCGGAGGAAGGUGGGGAUGACGUCAAGUCAUCAUGGCCCUUACGGCCAGGGCUACGCACGUGCUACAAUGGCGCAUACAAAGAGAAGCGACCUCGCGAGAGCAAGCGGACCUCAUAAAGUGCGUCGUAGUCCGGAUUGGAGUCUGCAACUCGACUCCAUGAAGUCGGAAUCGCUAGUAAUCGUAGAUCAGAAUGCUACGGUGAAUACGUUCCCGGGCCUUGUACACACCGC
rnacentral:rRNA from 1 species